UCCGCGCAGCAAGCGCUCAACCUCCCGCUCCCGACGCUCGUGACGCGGCGCUACGGGCGCUAGCGUCGUCAUCGUGGUCGUCUGCCUCACGCAUGGCACCUCGCGGAAAACAGUCGGCUCUCGAGAAGUGUCCGUGCUCGGAUGCUUUUUUCCCCCCUGUCGGCGCCGAAGAGGAUACUGUCCGGGUUGAUGAUGACAACUAUCCCAGCUACGCUAGACGCCUGGACGGCUUCCCUGCAAGGGCGUUGCUUUAUCGCGAGCGAGGUAUGGAGUUCUUACUGUGAGUCGAACCCAGGUAGGAACUUCAUACCAUGCUCGCGAUGGAAUGCAACCCAUUCAUCGCACCACGUCAGCGCUGGACGCCAGCGAUGUCGACACCACGGUAUCCGAGACCGAGUCAUGGGCCGUGCGCGAGAGUCGCUGUGCGCGCGGAAUGCAUGGACGUGCCUUAUAGUCAUCCCAUCACCUCUUUAAGAUCCUGCCCAACGAUGCUGAGAGCGUGCAUGCCAGCGUUCACGAUACCACGCCUUGCACGCAGCGAGAUGUUGGCGACGCUGCAGGCUGUGCUGUGACCGCACAUUCCCUGUCGGGCACACUGCAAUGUUUCAGCCAGCAGCCGUCAAAGAUAAUGUGGUCAGCCAAAGGAAAAAAAAAGAAUAAGUCUAAACGCUUAAAAACCAUUUAAGCAUGCCAAAGCUCCAGCGCAGGAACGUGAUUGCAGGUAGGUGCGUCGUCAUCUUAUACGCGUUUCGUUGGUACUCGAUGACAAUAAAGGUGCAGUGAACCAAA